rnacentral:rRNA from 1 species
GGGAAGGCGUAGGGAAACCGAGUCUUAAUAGGGCGAUUUAGUUGCUGGGCUUAGACCCGAAACCAGGCGAUCUAUCCAUGGCCAGUGUGAAGGUUGAGUAACAUCAACUGGAGGCGCGAACCCACCUAUGUUGAAAAAUGGGGGGAUGAGCUGUGGAUCGGAGUGAAAGGCUAAUCAAACCGGGAGAUAGCUGGUUCUCCUCGAAAUCUAUUUAGGUAGAGCGUCAUGUCU